UACGUAGGGGGCAAGCGUUGUCCGGAUUUAUUGGGCGUAAAGAGCGUGUAGGCGGCCAGGUAGGUCGGUUGUGAAAACUGGAGGCUCAACCUUCAGAGGUCGACCGAAACCAUCUGGCUAGAGUCCGGGAGAGGAGAGUGGAAUUCCUGGUGUAGCGGUGAAAUGCGCAGAUAUCAGGAAGAACACCCGUGGCGAAAGCGGCUCUCUGGAACGGUACUGACGCUGAGACGCGAAAGCGUGGGGAGCGAAACAGG
rnacentral:rRNA from 1 species